GAUGAACGCUAGCUACAGGCUUAACACAUGCAAGUCGAGGGGAAACGACAUCGAAAGCUUGCUUUUGAUGGGCGUCGACCGGCGCACGGGUGAGUAACGCGUAUCCAACCUGCCCAUCACUUGGGGAUAACCUUGCGAAAGUAAGACUAAUACCCAAUGAUAUCUCUAGAAGACAUCUGAAAGAGAUUAAAGAUUUAUCGGUGAUGGAUGGGGAUGCGUCUGAUUAGCUUGUUGGCGGGGUAACGGCCCACCAAGGCAACGAUCAGUAGGGGUUCUGAGAGGAAGGUCCCCCACAUUGGAACUGAGACACGGUCCAAACUCCUACGGGAGGCAGCAGUGAGGAAGAUUGGUCAAGGGGCGAGAGCCUGAACCAGCCAAGUAGCGUGCAGGAAGACGGCCCUAUGGGUUGUAAACUGCUUUUAUAAGGGAAUAAAGUGAGAGUCGUGACUCUUUUUGUAUGUACCUUAUGAAUAAGGACCGGCUAAUUCCGUG
rnacentral:rRNA from 1 species